GCAUUGUUGGUUCAGUGGUAGAAUUAUCGCCUGCCACGCGGGGGACCCGGGUUCAAUUCCCGGACAAUGCA
rfam:Strongylocentrotus purpuratus Contig106608_fixed, whole genome shotgun sequence.